rnacentral:lncRNA from 1 species
ACAAUGGUUGCACAGCAGUUGCACAGACAUGCACAGGGGUUGCACGUACGUGCACGGGGGUUGCACUAGGGGUUGCACAAUUCUUGCACAGACAUACACAAGGGAUAGUUGCACAGUGAUUCACAAGGGUUGCACAAUGCUUGCACACUUGUGCACAAUGAUUGCAUGCGUGUUGCACAAUCAUUGCAAUUUCCCACCCCCCAAUCCCAUGCAAUAUCAAGCAGCACACACACCUCACAACGCUCACACACUGUUGCACGUGGCUUCGCUCUGUGUUGCACACGAGUGUGUCACACGAGUGUGUCCCCCCCCCAUAAGGCCCCAGCACGACGUGCACCGAGGACUCGUGUGCUCACGGCGGCGUCUGCCUGCAGCAAUGGGACGGAUUCAGCUGCGACUGCUCCAUGAGCGCGCACAGCGGCGCCGCCUGCACCGAGCGCCCACGGCGCUCUGGGCGUGUUGUUUAACGUUGGCACCGAGGACAUCGCGCUGGAGGAACGAGGAGCCGCCGUCAGCGACGGACGCUUCCACGUCGUCAGGUUCACGCGCAGCGGAGGAAACGCCACCCUGCAGGUGGACGGCGGGCCCGUGCACGAGAGAUACCCCGCAGGUACACACAUAUAGGGGACAUAUAGGGAACAUAUAGGGUGUAAUUGAACCUAUAGGGCACCCAUAGGGGGUAAUUGAACCUAUGGGGCACCCAUAGGGCUGUCUGCAGGUGGACGGCGGGCCCAUGCACGAGAGAUACCCCGCAGGUACACACACAGCAUAUAGGGCAACUAUAGGGAACAUACAGGGAACAUAUAGGUAACAUAUAGGACUAUAGGGUACUUAUAGGGCACCUAUAGGGAAAUAGAUACAUAUAGGGCACCCAUAGGGUGUAAUGGAACCUAUAGGACACACAUAGGGCUGUCUGCAGGUGGAUGGCGGGCCCGUGCACAAGAGAUACCCCGCAGGUACACACAGAGCAUAUAGGGCAACUAUAGGGAACAUAUAGGGAACAUAUAGGGCACCUAUAGGGCGCCCAUAGGGCAACCAGAGGCCUGUAGGUAUACAGCACCCAUAGUGCACCCAUAGGGUGUAAUUGAACCUAUAGGGCACCCAUAGGGCACACAUAGGGUGAUAGGGCACCCAUAGGGCACCCAUAGGCCUGUAAGGUAUUUAUAAGGCAACCAUAGGGCACAUAUAGGGCACCCAUAGGGUGAUAGGGCACACAUAGGACACACAUAGGGCACCUAUAGGGCACCCAUAGGGCACACAUAGGGCUGUAGGGUCUACAUCUGUAGGGUAUCAGAGCAUCUUUAGGGCACACAUAGGGUAUUAGGGAUGUAGGGUACCUCAUAGGCCUGUAGGGUACUUAUAGGGCACCCAUAGGGCACCCAUAGUCCUGUAGGGUACUUAUAGGGCACCCAUAGGGCACCCAUAGGCCUGUAGGGUACUUAUAGGGCACCCAUAGGGCUGUCUGCAGGUGGACGGCGGGCCCGUGCACGAGAGAUACCCCGCAGGUACACACAACAUAUAGGGCAACUAUAGGGAACAUAUAGGGCAUUGAGCCUAUAGGGAACAUAUAGGGCACCCAUAGGGAACAUAUAGGGCUAUAGGGCACCCAUAGGCCUGUAGGGUACCUAUAGGGCACCCAUAGGGCU